rnacentral:lncRNA from 1 species
AAUAUUCUCUGCGAUAAAGUUCACUUCUGGGCAGAAAGCCAACAAAAGGCUCAUGCACCACUUAAGUCCCACUUAAACCCUAUUUCGAAGGCUUAAUAGUACAUAGGCCACUUUCUGGCCUCUUGCCCAGGAGUGAAUUUUACCAUGUUAGCAUCCCCUCUCUCUGCAUGGACAGAGAGCAAAAGGGCAAAGCUUUUCUGCUGGGCAGUGAGCUGAUUUCUGGAAGACAACAUCAGUAUUCUUUAUUCAAAAGAAAGCAACAAAUCCAUGGAACAACAUCCCUCCUGGUUUAAAGCUAAUCCACCUUCCCUUUGUACCAACAGUUCUGUCCUGCAAAGCUGGAAUAUACCAAACUACUGAUACACAGCUACUAUUGAUAUCUCUCUGUGGCUGUCUUGCACUGUUAAAGAUCUUCUGCUGUCCUUUUCCAAGCUUGGAUUAAUUUUGCCUCACUGGUGACCAUUAAGUGAAUUAGAAAAUUUUCUCUCUGCUGUUCUAAAGAUUUCUGAGAUUACUGUGCUCGUCUGUCCUGUAAUCUGGAGGGAAAAAGAUAAAGCUGUGAAGGUGUUUUCCAUUUCAAGAGCUCUCUAUAAGCAACAAUAUCUAGAAAAUAUUUCUCAUUAUCAGAAACUAUUUCUGAUUAUCAUUAGGUUACAGUACCUUGUAUUUUCACCUCAUAUAUGGGGCUCAUCUUGCUGUUUACUUGCAGGUGGUUAUGGGAGGAGCCCCUGAAAUAGAAGAUAAUCUCAAAGAUGAAUGUGGUCAGUCCUUGUCCUAAAACAAAAGUUUUUUUUUGAUGAUGUUCCUGCUACAAUUAUUGAAAGUUAAACAUGCCAUUAUGGGAUAUGGCUUUCUGUGAAUGGAUACCUACCCGUACUGAUAAAGUAGACUGGAAAUCUGAUUUCCUGAUCAGCUCUUUUAACUGUGCAUUUCCUUCCUAAUUCACAAUUGAAACAUAGAGCAAAGUAACGAGGAGUUAUAUCUGUUCUGAAGAAUGCUAUGCACGUCUAUAGCAGAAUUCUAUCAAUAAUAUCAAUUUAUUCUUUUCACAAAAGAUUGUGGACACAGCAAAAGCUAGCAAUGUGUGCAUGCAGUACCUUCAUGUGUACGUCCAUGGAGGCAAUCUACACCGGCAAGAGAGACAUUGGCAAAUGUAAGUGUUAUGGUGCUAUGCAAAAUCCAUCUUUUAAAUGUAGCCUUUGA